rnacentral:rRNA from 1 species
GCAAGUCGAGCGGUAACAGGAAUUAGCUUGCUAAUUUGCUGACGAGCGGCGGACGGGUGAGUAACGCGUAGGAAUCUGCCUAGUAGUGGGGGACAACAUGUGGAAACGCAUGCUAAUACCGCAUACGCCCUACGGGGGAAAGGAGGGGAUCUUCGGACCUUUCGCUAUUAGAUGAGCCUGCGUAAGAUUAGCUAGUUGGUGGGGUAAAGGCUCACCAAGACAAUGACACCUAACUGGUUUGAGAGGAUGAUC